rnacentral:sRNA from 1 species
UAUAACUUGCAGGACGAAGGACACGACA